CCGGCGACCGGCGCACGGGUGAGUAACACGUAUGCAACCUGCCCUCUUCAGGGGGACGAACCUUCCGAAAGGGAGGCUAAUCCCGCGUAUAUCGGUUUCGGGCAUCCGAGAUCGAGGAAAGAUUCAUCGGAAGAGGAUGGGCAUGCGGCGCAUUAGCUAGACGGCGGGGUAACGGCCCACCGUGGCGACGAUGCGUAGGGGUUCGUGAGAGGAAGGUCCCCCACCACUGGUACUGAGACACGGACCAGACUCCUACGGAAGGCAGCAG
rnacentral:rRNA from 1 species